rnacentral:rRNA from 1 species
CCUACGGGGGGCAGCAGUGAGGAAUAUUGGUCAAUGGACGCAAGUCUGAACCAGCCAUGCCGCGUGCAGGAAGACGGCUCUAUGAGUUGUAAACUGCUUUUGUACAAGAGUAAACGCAGAUACGCGUGCCUGUCUGAAAGUAUCGUACGAAUAAGGAUCGGCUAACUCCGUGCCAGCAGCCGCGGUAAUACGGAGGAUUCAAGCGUUAUCCGGAUUUAUUGGGUUUAAAGGGUGCGUAGGCGGUAGGAUAAGUUAGAGGUGAAAGCCCGAGGCUCAACUUCGGAAUUGCCUCUGAUACUGGUCGGCUAGAGAGUAGUUGCGGUAGGCGGAAUGUAUGGUGUAGCGGUGAAAUGCUUAGAGAUCAUACAGAACACCGAUUGCGAAGGCAGCCUACCAAGCUACUACUGACGUUGAGGCACGAAAGCGUGGGGAGCAAACAGGAUUAGAUACCCGUGUAGUC